UUUUUUUUCGUCCUUCGGAGGAAAAGAAACUAACAAGGAUUCCCCUAGUAGCGGCGAGCGAAGCGGGAAGAGCUCAAAUUUAUAAUCUGGCACCUUCGGUGUCCGAGUUGUAAUCUCAGAAAUGUUUUCCGCGUUGGACCGCACACAAGUCUGUUGGAAUACAGCGGCAUAGUGGUGAGACCCCCGUAUAUGGUGCGGACGCCCAGCGCUUUGUGAUACAUUUUCGAAGAGUCGAGUUGUUUGGGAAUGCAGCUCAAAUUGGGUGGUAAAUUCCAUCUAAAGCUAAAUAUUGGCGAGAGACCGAUAGCGAACAAGUACCGUGAGGGAAAGAUGAAAAGCACUUUGGAAAGAGAGUUAACAGUACGUGAAAUUGUUGGAAGGGAAACGCUUGAAGUCAGACUUGCUUGCCGAGCAAUCGGUUUGCAGGCCAGCAUCAGUUUUCCGGGAUGGAUAAUGGUAGAGAGAAGGUAGCAGUUUCGGCUGUGUUAUAGCUCUCUGCGGAUACAUCUUGGGGGACUGAGGAACGCAGUGUGCCUUUGGCGGGGGUUUCGACCUCUCACACUAUGAGACUCUGAAUCG
rnacentral:rRNA from 1 species